GGGGCAGCAGUUCAUGAGAAUGCCACCUUUGCAAGGUGAAGGAUUUCGCUCCA
rnacentral:tRNA from 1 species